rnacentral:sRNA from 1 species
GCAAAACGUGGCUAGGGUUCCGGUCGGUCAUCCCGAUGCUGGUCCGAGAGCCGCAGCCGUGCGGGAGACAUCCGCACGGUACACGGCGGGAUAAAAGCCCGGGAGAG